rnacentral:rRNA from 1 species
AGAAUCAACGCUGGCGGCGUGCCUAACACAUGCAAGUCGCACGAGAAAGGGGAGCAAUCCCUGAGUAAAGUGGCGCACGGGUGAGUAACACGUGAAUGAUCUACCUCCGAGUGGGGAAUAACUGAGAGAAAUCUUAGCUAAUACCGCAUAAUACCCACGGGUCAAAGCAGCAAUGCGCUUGGAGAGGAGUUCGCGGCCGAUUAGUUAGUUGGCGGGGUAAUGGCCCACCAAGACGAUGAUCGGUA